rnacentral:lncRNA from 1 species
UUUGAGCUACUGCUACUUUUUCAGGAAUCUUUCUUUAUACUCCUUCAAAACUGUACAACAAAAACAGGUUGUAUGAUUCCUCAACUUCACCUAUAUGAUUAAAAGAACCGAAUCAAAAGCAGAGAGAAUUAAAGAAAAAUCACAAGGAUGAUUACAAGUUUUUUACUUUUUCAAAAGUUGACAUUAGAAGAUUAUGAUAAGAAAUCCGACUUUCAUACAUUUUUUUUUUAUGGAAAUAAUGAAGACCUGAAGAAAUAACGGCAAGUCGUAGCUAUUGAAGUUGACAAAAACGUGAAAAUGAGUUAGGAAGCAAUGCUUUGGCAUGUAAGGAUUUGUUUUGUUUUUUCGAAAAUUAAGUUGUUCAUACAUCUUGAGGGGCGCGGUUAUGGUGCAUAAGAAAAUCCUUAUGCAUCUUGCAUAAAUCCAGUAAUUGUUUUUGUGAGUUGUAUUGCAAAACUAUUAUAUGUACUUAAUGGUUUCCAGCACCCUACAUAGAAUUUCCAUCACCCUGCAUAAAAUUAUGCCAAAACUAUUUUGCUGUGAAAAUGGUUUCUGUGAGUUGUACUUCAAAACCAUUUCUGAAUUUAUGC